rnacentral:rRNA from 1 species
AACGAACGCUGGCGGCGCGUCUUAAACAUGCAAGUCGAACGAUCUGUAGCAAUACAGGGAGUGGCGGACGGGUGAGGAACACGUAGGAAUCUACCUUGAAGAGCGGGACAACUUUGGGAAACCGGGGCUAAUACCGCAUAGUACAGAGAUGUUAAAGGGCUAGCAAUAGUCGCUUCGAGAUGAGCCUGCGGUCUAUCAGCUUGUUGGUGAGGUAAUGGCUCACCAAGGCUACGACGGAUAGCCGGUCUGAGAGGAUGAUCGGCCACACUGGCACUGAGACACGGGCCAGACUCCUACGGGAGGCAGCAGUUAAGAAUCUUGCGCAAUGGGGGAAACCCUGACGCAGCGACGCCGCGUGGAGGAUGAAGGCUUUCGGGUUGUAAACUUCGGUAGACUGGGAAGAAGAAAUACGUUCGUUGAGGGCGUAUAGUGACGGUACCAGUCUGAAGCCCCGGCUAAUUACGUGCCAGCAGCCGCGGUAAU